AUUGAACGCUGGCGGCAGGCCUAACACAUGCAAGUCGGGCGGAUGAGUGGAGCUUGCUCCAUGAUUCAGCGGCGGACGGGUGAGUAAUGCCUAGGAAUCUGCCUGGUAGUGGGGGACAACGUUUCGAAAGGAACGCUAAUACCGCAUACGUCCUACGGGAGAAAGCAGGGGACCUUCGGGCCUUGCGCUAUCAGAUGAGCCUAGGUCGGAUUAGCUAGUAGGUGAGGUAAAGGCUCACCUAGGCGACGAUCCGUAACUGGUCUGAGAGGAUGAUCAGUCACACUGGAACUGAGACACGGUCCAGACUCCUACGGGAGGCAGUAGUGGGGAAUAUUGGACAAUGGGCGAAAGCCUGAUCCAGCCAUGCCGCGUGUGUGAAGAAGGUCUUCGGAUUGUAAAGCACUUUAAGUUGGGAGGAAGGGCAGUAAGCUAAUACCUUGCUGUUUUGACGUUACCAACAGAAUAAGCACCGGCUAACUUCGUGCCAGCCGCCGCGGUAAAAC
rnacentral:rRNA from 1 species